rnacentral:lncRNA from 1 species
AGCCGUGUGAUGAUCACAUAGCGAACUAUUCUUUCGCCUUUUACUAAAGAAUACCGUGUGAGCGUCACAAUUAGCGGCAUACGCUAGUUUUUGGAAGAGUCCUCUUUAUGGAGGGCUCUGCAAUUUUAGUUAAAUUUUUUAAUGGCAUUUGUUUGUAUUUGAAAGAGUCAUAUCUAAGGAGUGGCUUUGCAAUUUUAGUUCAGUAUUGAUGUCUUAGAAUUCAUCGCUCGAUUGUGUAGAAAAGUACGUAAGGCUGAUUUCUUUAGUUAUAUUUUAGUUUAAAAUAUUUCUUAUUAAAAGUGAAAUUAGAUAUGAAGGAAUUAAUUAUUCAAGUGGAUUCAAU